rnacentral:rRNA from 1 species
GACAGAGGUGCCAAGCGUUAGGCGGAAUCACUGGGCUUAAAGCGUGUGUAGGUGGAUACCUAAGUACCUUGUGAAAUCCCACGGCUCAACCGUGGAACUGCUUGGUAUACUGGGUGUCUUGAGCCAACUAGGGGCAGCCGGAACAAACGGUGGAGCGGUGAAAUGCGUAGAUAUCGUUUGGAACGCCAACGGUGAAAACAGGCUGCUGGGGUUGUGCUGACACUGAGACACGAAAGCCAGGGGAGCAAACGGG